rnacentral:rRNA from 1 species
UCUGGUUGAUCCCGGCGGAGGUUACUGCUAUCGAGGUUCGACUAAGCCAUGCGAGUCGAAUGUAGCAAUACAUGGCGUACUGCUCAGUAACACGUGGACAACCUACCCUUAGGUCGGGGAUAAACCCGGGAAACUGGGUAUAAUACCCGAUAGUCCUCGAAUGCUGGAAUGCAUCGAGGUCUAAAGCUCCGGCGCCUAAGGAUGGGUCUGCGGCCUAUCAGGUAGUAGUGGGUGUAGCGUACCUACUAGCCUACGACGGGUACGGGUUGUGAGAGCAAGAGCCCGGAGAUGGAUUCUGAGACACGAAUCCAGGCCCUACGGGGUGCAGCAGGCGCGAAAACUUUACAAUGCUGGCAACAGCGAUAAGGGGACCUCGAGUGCCAGGUUACAAAUCUGGCUGUCGUGAUGCCUAAGAAGCAUUGCAUAGCAAGGGCCGGGCAAGACCGGUGCCAGCCGCCGCGGUAACACCGGCGGCUCGAGUGGUAACCGUCAUUAUUGGGUCUAAAGGGUCUGUAGCCGGCCGGAUAAGUCUCUUGGGAAAUCUGGCAGCUUAACUGUCAGGCUUUCAGGAGAUACUGUCUGGCUCGAGGCCGGGAGAGGUGAGUGGUACUUCAGGGGUAGGGGUGAAAUCUUGUAAUCCUUGAAGGACCACCAGUGGCGAAGGCGUCUUACCAGAACGGACCUGACGGCAAGGGAC